AAUCUGCAUUAGGCCUUUGAGUACACAAACCAUCCACAAUCUGCCUUCUCAACCAUCAUCCUGCUGGAGGCCUUCCAUGGAGACCCCUGGUCCAGCUAGGAGUUCCGGUUCAGACAAAGGAGAGAAAACGGGAAAAGUUGGUCCUACCUGUGGUUCCAAGGCUCAAGUUUGCUCGUGGGGUACUGCCUAAGUCCUCUCCGCGGGGGCAGCAACCGGGAAGAUCUGCGCCGCUCUUUCUGGGAGCCUCCGUGCACCAGGGUUCCAGAUGACAUUUGGUGUUUUCCUCUGGCGUCUGGAUGUGCACAGAGUGCAGUCUCUUCUGGUUUCCCAGGGGCGUGAUCCUGCUAGCUGAAGAUAGUUUACGUUUGGAAUUCUGGGUAUAAAAAUGCCAGAGCCCCAGAAGCUGCAGGGGCUGCUGCUCCCUCUGCUGCCUCUGGAUCCUGUUGCUACAGUCUGUCAAGUGGUCAUGAGCAAUGGUAUGAGAAGAAAUGGGAUAUCCUAACUACGAAGAUUAGACUUGCCAGAGUAUUCAACAACUAAUCAGCAGGAAAGUGUACAGCUUUGGUGAGAUUCAUCCUCAGACAAGCUGAACUGACCUGCUUGGAUCCCUGCUUCUGGUUGCUGCCCAAAACAGCUUCAGCUUCGGGGACUGUCACAGAUUCCAGGUCAUUGUGCCUCAUUCAACCUUUCAGAUGAAUCUAGUCAGAACUUCAAUUAAGUUCUGGGCUUCCUAAGCAUACGGAAACUGGAUUACAGAUGCUAAAGCUAGCUUUCUCAAGUCUAACCAAAUUUUCUAAUUCUCCUAUCCAUCCCCACACCUUUAAAGAAUUUUUCAUUGCUCCUGUUCAGCAAGAAGUUAUGGACAGUCAUCGGCCCAAUUCCCUGGGUUUGGAGGUCUGGUAAUGGUUAUUCUAUACAUUAUAGAAGUUGCCAUUUUAAGGGACAAUUUGGGAAUGGUCAUAUUUUUGAACAGGGAGGAAAUGGGUAGAAUUGAUUGUGUAGCCAUAAUCUUAAAUGGUAGAAAUCUUUUUAAUUGAUGCAAAAUUGAAGUUAUAAUUUUUUAUAUUGGUAUGGGAUUUAUUUUGACACAGAUUUAAGGUUUUCAUUGGUAUGAAUUUCUUAUGUUGAUACAAAUAUUGAAAUUAAUAUUGUUACUCUUAGUUAGGUAUUGUGCCUAUGCAAUUCAUUCAAGAAAAAAAAGCUUAAACCCAGUCCUUCUAAUAACUGCUAUUACAGACUGUUUUUAGAUGAUUAAGUGAUAUGAGUUAAGGACCAGAUAGCAAACUCUUGGUUAUAUUAGAUUCAGAUAUAUAUAUAUAUAUAUAUAUAUAUAUAUAUAUAUAUAUAUAUGUGUGUGUGUGUGUGUGUGUGUGUGUGUGUGUGUGUGUGUUGGAGAGAGAGAGAGAGUCUUGAAAAACAUCAGAAAUCCACAGAAUGUGACAUUUAAUGUUAUUUAAUCAUUUGACAAUGAGACAUAUCUGCUCUUGGUUCAUAGAAGAAAUUGGUCAUCGUCCCCUCCGGGUGAGGUUGCCUAUCAUGGCAAGGUAGCCUGGUCAGAAAUUGCCUAUUUCAUAUGCACACAAAAUACUUUCCAGGAAAAGGACACAUUUUGCAGGACAGUUAACUGUUGGCUCUGCAAAGACAGGGUAAGGAGUCAUUAAUAAUUCUGCUUUGCAAAGGUCUAGGCCAGAAAGCUAAUACUCCAACCUUUUAAGGAAUUAGGGGGUUGUCCAAGUCGUCAUCUGUCUCUGUAGUUGUUUACAUUUGAGAAGCUAUGUGUUGUGUUUCCUCUAUACCCAUGUAAUGUUUAAGUUUUUCUCAGAUUUCAGAAGGGUUAAAGACUAGUUUUAGUCUCAUAAUCAAACAAGUUGUUUAACAUUUUUGAAAGAGGUUAUAGAGUGGAAGACAUGGUUUUCAGAUAGCAUUACAGGCUAAAUCUAAAACAUAAUCUAGGUAUAGAAUCAUAAUUCUUUAAGUUACAAAUGAUGGUAGAGUACUUUAUCUAAUUGACGAAUAUUAUGAAUGUCAUUUGUAUAUCAUACUGUGUAAUUUACAUGAUUGUUAUGCUUUUGUUCAAUUUAUGUCUGAGAGAAGAGGUUGGGAGAAGAGGUUUUAGUUUUUUUAACUGGACACAAAAGGUGAGGUUAUAGGUGGAUCUGAUGAUAAGGUCCUGUUCCCCAAUUGGUUCUUAAUCUGUCAGUAAAGAAGCCAUGGGCCAAUUGCUGGGCAGAAGGCAUAGGCGAGACUUCUGGGUCCCUGGAGGAAAACAGACAGAUACAAGGGAGGAAUGAGGAGUUCAACAGACGAGAGAGAGAAAAGGCAAGCAGCAUGUGAGGCCAGGGGAGGAGGGGUGGUCUGUGACUGCUCCUAUAGGUGGGUAGUCAGGGGUGUUUAGCAGGGACUAGAUGCAUCUUAGCAACUAAAGUUUAGGGCAGGUGGGAGGUACGGAGAUAAGAAUAUUGUUAAGGGCACACUUUUCCAAGAGAGUAGCACCCAGCAAUUCCAAAGGCAAGUUGAAAUUGAGCAACUGUGUGUCUGGGUCAUUUAUCCAUGGACUCAGGGGAAACUGGGUGGGGACUAGUAGCACAGCCUCUUCCUGGAGCAAGGCAGGAUAGCAAAAGCUAAAUGCAACAGAAGAAAGAAAGAAAAAAGGAAGGAAGGAAGGAAGGAAGGAAGAUUAAAUUGUUAAGUUAUACAUCAUGUAAAAAUCUUUUUUUUUUUCUUUUUCUUUUUUUCAGAGCUGGGGACCGAACCCAGGGCCUUACAGUUGCUAGGCAAGCGCUCUACCACUGAGCUAAAUCCCCAACCCCGUGAAAAUCUUUUGAGAUGAGCAUAACUUCAUAAUGUUUCAUCUCAGCCUCCUGAGUGGAUGGGAUUAUAGGUACAUGCCACUGAACCUAGUUGUCCUGUUAACUUUAUAUAAUACACACAUAGACACACACACACACACACAUAUACAUAUACACACACAUAUACACCUAUGAGGCAGGUCUCAAUUUUCUAGUUGAACAUGAUCUUGAUCUCUCAAUCUUCCUUUCUUCAUGUACUCGGUGCAGAGACUAUACAUAGGUCUGUGCUACCCCUGAACUACUUUACCUAAAUUAAAACAAAAACAAAAAAACAAACAAACCAAAAAACCCUCUAAACAGAAUAUAUGGUCAGUGCGUGCCUAUAACUUAGCACUUGGUAGGGUAAGGUAAGGGAAACCCAACUUUAAAAUCAGCCUGGGGUACACAGUGAGACCCUGUUCAUAGCAAAUAAAUAAAUAAAGAUUAAAAAAAACUCAGCUGGGGGGUUGGGGAUUUGGCUCAGUGGUAGAGCACUUACCUAGGAAGCGCAAGGUCCUGGGUUCGGUCCCCAGCCCCGGAAAAAAAAAGAAAAAAAAAAGAAAAAAAAGAAAAAAAAAAAGAAAAAAAAAACCUCAGCUGUCAUUUUGGUAGUAACUGACAAGUUGUUAUGAAGAUGCCAAGGUCCUUAACAGCUAAAAACGACUUUGAAAAACAAAAUACAACAAAUUGGAAGGCUAAUUCUGCCUAGUUACAACUUAGCAAAUAAGUGUGGGACUCAAGUCUCUGUGUUAUUGAUGAAUACCAAUAAACAGAGCAAUAAGAAAUUGAUUCAUGUAUCUAUGAACAACCAGCCUUUGACAAAAGUGUAGAGGUAGUCAUGGAAAAAGAACCAUCUUUCCAACAGGUAGUACUAGAAUAACUGCAUAUUCAUAUGAACAUAAUAGUGUUUAAACUUCCACCCACGUCCUAUCCUACACUGUUCUGUGGUUCAGAGAUGCUUGGUCCCAAGCAGUAUUCUGCUAUCAGCCUUCAGAUGAAGAUGUAGAACUCUUAGCUUCUCCUACACCAUGCCUGCCUGGAUUCUGCAAUGUUCCUCCUGUCUUGAUGAUAAUGGACUGAACCUCAGAACCUGUAAGCCAGCCCCAGUUAAAUGUCCUUAUUAAGAGAUAUCUUGGGGGGCUGGGGAUUUAGCUCAGUGGUAGAGCGCUUACCUAGGAAGCGCAAGGCCCUGGGUUCGGUCCCCAGCUCCGAAAAAAAGAACCAAAAAAAAAAAAAAAAAAAGAGAGAUAUCUUGGGGGGUUGGGGGAUUUAGCUCAGUGGUAGAGCGCUUGCCUAGGAAGCGCAAGGCCCUGGGUUCGGUCCCCAGCUCCGAAAAAAAAAAAAAAAAAGAAAAAAAAAAAAGAGAUAUCUUGGUCAUGGUCUCUUCACAGCAGUAAAACUUAACUAAGACAGAAGUUGGUCCCAGGAAUGGAGUAUUGCUGUGACAGGCCUGACCGUGCUUUUGUUUGGAAGAAUGUGGAUUUGGGGACUUUGGAUUUGGAAAGCAGUAGAAUGCUUUAAAUGGGGCUUAAUGGGCUAUCCUAGUAGGAAUAUGGAAGACUUUGUUACUGAGUAUGAUUUAAAUUGUGUGGAACUGGCCCAAGAGGUUUCAGUGGAGAACUUCAGUAUGUGGCCUCGAGGGUUUUUUUGUGAUAUUUUGGUGAAGAACAUGGCUUCCUUUUGCCCUUGUCUGAAGAGUCUGCCUGAGGCUAAGGUGAAGAAACUCAGAUUAAUUGCCCUGACAAAGGACGUCUCAGAAACGCCUAUCAUAGACUGUGUUCUCUGGUUGUCUCAUGAAGAGCAUUUUAAGCAAGCAUAGCAAGCUUCGAAAAGAAAAAUAUAAAAUAUAUGGUUCAAAUAUUAAAGGGACACCAGGAAGUAAAAUGGAACUGAAUCCUAUGUUUCAGGAGAUAGCAGAUUAAGGGAGUAGGACUUUUGGGCAAGAUCCUACCCAACUAAAUUUAGAUUCAGGCAUGGUGGUACACACCUUUAAUCCCAGGAGACAGUCAAGCUGAUCUCUGAGUUCAAGGUCAAUCUACAAAGCAAGAUCCAGGUCAGCCAAGUUUAGGCAGUGAGGGAGUUGGAAACAGAAAGCUGGUAAAAGACUAAGGGGAGGCCACGUUCCAGCCCCAGCAAGCAGCACAACACAGCAGUUUUGUCCAUGUGGCUCUGGCUUUAGAGUGAAAAACAGAAGGGACGACUGGGACAACUGAUGCUGGUGAGCUGGAGCUAAGAAAUUAGUGGUGAGUAAGAGACCAGAAUUACUGAGGUGAAAUCUCCUGGGGAGUGUUUUCUGAGAGCACAAAGAAGCUGUAUUCCAGAGAUAGCCAAGGGUGUACCUCGUGCUGCAGCUGUCCUCGGUAAGUGUUAAUAGUCACCAAGGUGGUACUGGCUUUGAAGGCUGGAAGGUGUCAUGAGAGCUGCUGAGGCUUGGUGUUCUAAGAGGCCAUGAAAGGCUAUUGGUGAAGGUGCAGCCUCAGCUGCAGUUGACAGCCCAGGACUGAAGGGGUCGUGCAAAGGAUUUGAGGCUUGUCACCAUAAAGAGAAUCUAUGAGAGGGUACUGGUUAAACUUAGUUGCAGAGAAAGACUCCAGUGUAUUGGAGAUGCCAGUACCAUGAUAUGAUCACCAAGAACAGCAGUGUCAGCAGAGUGGAUCAACCUGAGCUUCAAGUACUACCGAGGGCAGAGCUGGAGAAGUGAUGCCAGCCCUUUGGAGGAGCCCAGAAGUUCAUGUGUGGAUCCCAGACAUUGAAUUAAGUUGUAACACUGAAAUUGCCUCGGAGACCCCAAGAUAUUUGCGACGCUAGAGCCUUGGGCUAUCUGCUGAGGAAAGCGCUAACAGGAAGUAGAACCAGCCCAGGAGAAAGAAGUUUGUUGCAGUCAACAAAGAUGAAAAAGGAGUUGAAGAUCUGAAAACUGCUUUAACGUCAGACAUGGAGAUGCAGAGUUUGGAGUUUGCCCAGCUGGUUUCCUGUCUUGCUUUGGGGAUUACAAGUUAAGGGACUGGAUAAAUCUCAGAAGAGACUUUGAACUUUGGACUUGUUGAGACUUUGAACAUUGUGGAGACUGCCAUAGACUAUGGGGACUUUUAAUUUUAGACUAAAUGUGUUUUUAUGCUAUGUUUAGAUAUGGCCCCCAUAGACUCAUACGUUUGAACAAGCCUAUGGGAGCCAGGGAGUGAAAUGUGAUCGUUUGUAUAUGCUUGGUCCAGGGAGUGGCACUAUUAAAAGGUGUGGCCCUGUUGGAGUAGGUGUGUCACUGUGGGCGUGGGCUUUAAGACCCUUGUCCUAGGUGCCAGGAAGCCAGUAUUCUGCUUGCAGCCUUCAGAUAAAGAUGUAGAACUCUCAGCUCCUCUUGCACCAUGUCUGUCUGAAUGCCUCCAUGUUCCACACCGUGAUGAUAAUGAACCUCUGAACCUGUAAGUUAGCCCCAAAUAAAUGUUGUCCUUAUUAAAAAAAAAAAAAAAAAAAAAGAAAGAAAUGCAUGGUCCCCUUGACGAAUCAUGUUUAGACUUUAUGCUAAUGAAGAGGUCUUGGGAGGUUGGCCCUUUGUGUGGUAAUUAGGUCAUGGAGGUUGUGCCCUCAUGGCAGGAUGGCUCUUGAGGGAGCUGGUUAUCAAGCAAGGCCAGCAUUCUUGUACCCUCACACUCUUGUACCUGAAAUUCUCUUCCCUACGCUGCAGCCUGUCCUUUUUCUUUCUACCAUGAGCUGAAGCUAAAUGGGCCUCUUACCAGAAACCAAGCAAAUGUCAAGGCCACAAUCCUUCUAAAGAUGAUAGACUUAUUUAGUUCAUAGUUUUAGAUGUUCAUCUUUAGAAAUUACCCUGGUGGGAAAUUCUGUUAUAGCCAAAGAGAAAGAACUAAAACGUACAGUUUACAAAAGUUAUCUCGGAAUUGAUUACUGAAUUAUAAUGGUAAAGUUUCUCAUGGUAACAAUCUUUGAGAGCGUAGUUGGGCUUUGAGAGAAAGAGCUGUAGACUGUCUUUUGCUACUUGGUGCGUUAUUUCUUUCACCCUUCUCUACCCUAUUUCUGCCACCCUUUUAACUCCCUAACACUAGAUAAGAGAGAAAACAAGGAUAGAGAGCAAAGGAAAGAGAUCCCUGAAAAAGUCGGGUGUCAGAAAGGGGUGACACUAUCAUUAGACUGAGCUGAUUAGAGUCAUCAAGUUCCUUGAGCGAGUUUGAUCUUCACCAUCAGGGUAUCUAAUUUCUUCCUCUUGUCUCCUCUUGGUGCAUGACUACUUAACACACUGUGACCAACGGCAACCAGCAACGACCAACAACCAGCCAACAAACGACCGACCUUCUCAGGGUCCCAGCAUUUAUACAACCUCUAAUAAGUCCCCAGAAUUCCAAAUAUCGCAGAAACUACCUGCAGCUGGCAAAACUGCACCCCCACUAGAGCAUGAGGCAAAUCACAGUCAGCUGCUGUGGACAACCUGAAGCAGCCCCACAUCCCACACCAGGGAUUAAAACGAAAGCAUACUUUACAA